rnacentral:piRNA from 1 species
UGGCAUCUGGAAGACUAAAGCAGGA